AAAUGAUUAUAUAUAUUCGUAGAACAUAUUUUUCCCGCCUAUCGAUGUAUAUGCGCAAUGAAGGGAAAACAGUUACUUUUCUCUUUUAUGUGAGAAUUGUGCCAUCUGUGAAUCUCUGCGAAUGAAGCGCACUGAGACGCUACUGUCACACUAAUCCUUCGAUACGCGUCUCGAAUGCUUUAUGUUCUGAACAAUUUUUCUUUUUUUUUUUUCUAAUUUUUAUUUUUUAUCUUUUUCUACGCGACAUUGAGAAAAAAUGCGACCAAUAGCAAGGAAGUCAUAGAAUACCGGCCUUAUAAAGUUGCUUGAGGAAACUGUUAACUGCGGUAGAAGUAAAGUAUUUAGAAAAUACGACGCACGAAGCGCAACUGUCAUGGCGUCCUCAGUACUCGCUGCAAACAGGAUCAAGCUAAGACAGAGCAUGGAAAAUGAGACGUAUAAUCGUAACCGUCGACCUUUCGCCGUUUUGCUGGGGACGAAUAUUCUGGCACCUCCGAGCCCGACGCCAUUUUCAACAGCAAUGCAUUGCAUACUUUGAUGAGCGGGCCGGUAGCUUAACAGAGGUCGCUUUUAUCCAUAAUAUCCCCUCCUUGCUCUUACAUGGGAAUAGGAGACGACAACUAGACCGAUUUCUACCACUUAACAAUAAAAUCAAAUAAUGACACAAAAACCAUCAUUGCAAAUUAUCGCCAUUAACUUUAACUACUUAUGUUUUAAUCCCGAAGAUAAUUCUCCCUAAAAGAAUAUAGAUAUAUAUUGUAUUAUACACUUUAUUAUAAAUUUGUAUUUAGAGAAAGUUUAUCAAAUAAAUGCGUUAUUACUUUUAUUAUUUUUAACAUUACACGCACAUACUCAAUAUCUAAAGAUAUUAAUUGGAAUAAGUAAAAUAUAUUGUAUCUAAAUAUCUUUGUUAAAAUACAAUACAAAUUUAUCACUUAGUAACUUAUGAUAAAGUACUAACAAUCUGUUAGCAUUCCUUCUGUAUAUCUGACAUGCAAAUGUAUAUGUCAAAUAGAAUUUAAAUAGAAGAAGUCACACAUUU